UACGAAGGGGGCUAGCGUUGCUCGGAAUCACUGGGCGUAAAGGGUGCGUAGGCGGGUCUUUAAGUCCGGGGUGAAAUCCUGGAGCUCAACUCCAGAACUGCCUUUGAUACUGAAGAUCUUGAGUUCGGGAGAGGUGAGUGGAACUGCGAGUGUAGAGGUGAAAUUCGUAGAUAUUCGCAAGAACACCAGUGGCGAAGGCGGCUCACUGGCCCGAUACUGACGCUGAGGCACGAAAGCGUGGGGAGCAAACAGG
rnacentral:rRNA from 1 species